UCCGGCUUGUCGCCGGCGGUCCCUUUAGAGUGCCCAACUGAAUGAUGGCAACUAAAGACGAGGGUUGCGCUCGUUGCGGGACUUAACCCAACAUUUCACAACACGAGCUGACGACAGCCAUGCAGCACCUCUGUUCCAGCCAGCCGAACUGAAGAGCCUCAUCUCUGAAGCCCAUACUGGACAUGUCAAGGGUUGGUAAGGUUCUGCGCGUUGCUUCGAAUUGAACCACAUGCUCCACCGCUUGUGCGGGCCCCCGUCAAUUCCUUUGAGUUUUAAUCUUGCGACCGUACUCCCCAGGCGGGAAGCUUAAUGCGUUAGCUGCGCCACCGACAAGUAAACUUGCCAACGGCUAGCUUCCAUCGUUUACGGCGUGGACUAC
rnacentral:misc_RNA from 1 species